rnacentral:rRNA from 1 species
CGCGUAGGUGGUAGUGCAAGUCUGAGGUGGAAUCUUAGGGCUUAACCCUAAAAUUGCCUUGGAAACCGCAUUACUUGAGUCAGUGAGGGGAGGGUAGAAUUCCUGGUGUAGCGGUGAAAUGCGUAGAUAUCAGGAGGAAGGCCGGUGGCGAAGGCGGCCCUCUGGCGCUGAACUGACACUGAGGCGCGAAAGCGUGGGGAGCAAACAGGAUUAGAUACCCUGGUAGUCCACGCCCUAAACGGUGGGUACUAGGUGUAGGGCUCGUAAGGGUUCUGUGCCGAAGCGAAAGCAUUAAGUACCCCGCCUGGGGAGUACGGCCGCAAGGUUGAA